rnacentral:rRNA from 1 species
GUGGGAACUCUAAGGAGACUGCCGGUGACAAACCGGAGGAAGGUGGGGACGACGUCAAGUCAUCAUGGCCCUUACGAGUUGGGCUACACACGUGCUACAAUGGGUGAGACAAUGAGAUGCAAAUCUGCGAAGACAAGCUAAUCUAUAAACUCUCUCUAAGUUCGGAUUGUAGGCUGCAACUCGCCUGCAUGAAGUUGGAAUCGCUAGUAAUCGCUGGUCAGCUAUACAGCGGUGAAUUCGUUCCCGGGCCUUGUACACACCGCCCGUCACACCAUGGAAGCUGGUUAUACCCGAAGUCGUUACUCUAACCAUUUGGAGGAGGAUGCCUAAGGUAGAAUUAGUGACUAGGGUGAAGUCGUAACAAGGUAACCGUACUGGAAGGUGCGGUUGGAUCACCUCCUU